rnacentral:snRNA from 1 species
GUGCUCGCUUCGGCAGCACUUGUACUAAAAUUGGAGCCAUAUGGAGACUAGCAUGGCCCCUGAGCACGGAUGACAUGCAAAUUUGGGAAGCAAUCCGUAUUUUU